AUUUCUAGUAAGGAUCCAUCAUCUAUUUAGUGUAGUAUCUGUUCUUAUCAGUUUAAUAUCUGAUACGUCCCCUACCCGGGGACUAAAUUUCUUUUUUUUAGGGGGAAGUCGU
ensembl:snRNA U2 U2 spliceosomal RNA